GACGAACGCUGGCGGCGUGCUUAACACAUGCAAGUCGUACGGUAAGGCCCUUUCGGGGGUCCACGAGUGGCGAACGGGUGAGUAACACGUGAGUAACCUGCCCACAACUUUGGGAUAACGCUAGGAAACUGGUGCUAAUACUGGAUAUGUGCUCCUGCUGCAUGGUGGGGGUUGGAAAGCUCCGGCGGUUGUGGAUGGACUCGCGGCCUAUCAGCUUGUUGGUGGGGUAGUGGCCUACCAAGGCGGCGACGGGUAGCCGGCCUGAGAGGGUGGCCGGCCACAUUGGGACUGAGAUACGGCCCAGACUCCUACGGGAGGCAGCAGUGGGGAAUAUUGCACAAUGGGCGCAAGCCUGAUGCAGCAACGCCGCGUGCGGGAUGACGGCCUUCGGGUUGUAAACCGCUUUCAGCAGGGACGAAGCUUUUUGUGACGGUACCUGCAGAAGAAGCACCGGCUAACUACGUG
rnacentral:rRNA from 1 species